GGAAUUACUGGGCGUAAAGCGAGCGUAGGUGGCUUGAUAAGUCAGAUGUGAAAUCCCCGGGCUUAACCUGGGAACUGCAUCUGAUACUGUUAAGCUAGARUAGGUGAGAGGRAAGUAGAAUUCCAGGUGUAGCGGUGAAAUGCGUAGAGAUCUGGAGGAAUACCGAUGGCGAAGGCAGCUUYCUGGCAUCAUACUGACACUGAGGCUCGAAAGCGUGGGUAGCAAACAGGAUUAGAUACCCUGGUAGUCCACGCCGUAARCGAUGUCUACUAGUCGUUGGGUCCCUUGAGGACUUAGUGACGCAGCUAACGCAAUAAGUAGACCGCCUGGGGAGUACGGCCGCAAGGUUAAAACUCAAAUGAAUUGACGGGGGCCCGCACAAGCGGUGGAGCAUGUGGUUUAAUUCGAUGCAACGCGAAGAACCUUACCUGGUCUUGACAUACACAGAAUCUUGUAGAGAUACGAGAGUGCCUUCGGGAAUUGUGAUACAGGUGCUGCAUGGCUGUCGUCAGCUCGUGUCGUGAGAUGUUGGGUUAAGUCCCGCAACGAGCGCAACCCUUGUCCUUAGUUACCAGCGGGUUAAGCCGGGAACUCUAAGGAUACUGCCAGUGACAAACUGGAGGAAGGCGGGGACGACGUCAAGUCAUCAUGGCCCUUACGACCAGGGCUACACACGUGCUACAAUGGUAGGUACAGAGGGCAGCUACACAGCGAUGUGAUGCGAAUCUCAAAAAGCCUAUCGUAGUCCAGAUUGGAG
rnacentral:rRNA from 1 species